UUCUGCUCACUUUUCCUGCAGCCCGCCGUUUUCCAGGAUGCAGCCUCCAGAAAGCAAGUCUGCGUGGUGACUAAACCCGGGUACAGUCUCCGUAUAAACUUCAGAUUCUGGCGGGAGUGUGAUGAUUUGUGCAUCUUGCAGGGACCAAGGGAAGCCUUGUGGACCAGACCGCAGAAGAGAGCUACAGGGAUGGUAGCACGAGGAGGCCUUGGGUGGACGUUGCUGGCUUUGAAGGUGGAGGAAGGGGACCUCUGAAAGUUGGAAAAGCUCUCCUAUUCCUUGCCAUCAGCAUCUGGGUCAAUGAUGAGCAGAAGUAAGGGGUAAAGGAAAUCUCUCUGUGGACACUGAGGAUGAAGAUGAUGACAAGGUCCUAGAGGAUGGGGAACUACGAGGUGGAAAAGCCUAGUCCCCAAAGUGCCACUUGAAAAAAAGCUGACAGCUGAUGAAGAAUACCUGCUUUAUAUAUUUUCAUCUCCAAGGCCAUGGAACUAAAGAGCAGUUAUUGCGGGGACAAAAUUUUCCAAGAAAAGACUCCAAGAGAGAGCAAGAAGAAAAAUCUUAUAUAUGGAGACUGCCUGUAUGCAGAAAGCUGUAUGAAAGACACUGGGAGAAGAAUGCCUUCAGAAAUAAGUUGAAGCCUCGUCACAUGCAUCCUUUUCACCCAGAAUUAAUGUUGGAUUGUAUAAACAAAGCUCACCUAUUACAUCGGCAGCAGAGCACCCUUUCUCCUUCUGGAAAUGACUACAGUCUCAGCGAGUAGUUGAGCAGUUACCAGCACCCCUGCAUGGCUUUUCCAGGUUCUGGAGAAAUCCAGGUACACUGCUGGCAAUGGCUUUGAUGUGGUGUCCAGAUACUCUUCCACUAAGUUUUCCCUUUUCAGACAAGCCACUUAGUUGACUUCUACUGCACUCAAUCAAAUGUUCCUUUUCUAAGGCAAUACUCCAAGCUUUUGGUCUAUGUACGUUUGCUUGACCGAUUUCUUCCGUAAAAUGCUCCCCUACUGACUUCCACGCUUUUCAAUUUUUACUUAUUUUUCAUGGCCUCCCUGAUUUUUUAAGGACAAUUUAAAACUAAAAGAAAAGGUACAUUCUGUAUCCUCCAAGUUCCCCAAACACACAUUUCUGCCCGAAAAGGGAUAAAACAAACACUUACAUUCCUUAAAUGUUCUAUGUAAAGAUGAGAAGCUUUGAAUACUGAUUCUUCAAAAUCUAAAAGAGAAAAUAUUUUGCAAUCCCAAGAGGUGAUAAAAUAAAAUUAUGAGCGUACUUUGACUUCUAUUAAAAUACAGGCAGUAUUAAAAAAUGAAUGACUUAAUUCUCUCAACUUUACUGGCACGUUUUAUCAAAAGCAUGUGUGAUAGUAAUUAAAAUGUUUCUAAUACGAAUCAUAAAGGCAGUGUUUCUACAGCUUCACGUUAGUACAUGUGUAGUUUCAUCUCUUGAGAUGAUUUUUUCUUUAGAAGAACCAUUAUGGUUAGAAAAAGUCCUUGAAAGUUCUUUCCUGAUUGUCAGCUCUUAUCUUCAAGUCUUGUGCUUGUAUAUCUUUUCAUUUUCCUAGAUCAUAUUCUGGAUGUUCUUAUGCCUGAUAUAAAGCAGUAUGAUAUUGAGAGACCAUUAAAUUCAUUGGAUUAUUAUACAAUAAUGCUUAUUCUAAUUAUCGAUCUUACCAUCCUUUACCUCCUUUUCAUUUUCACCUUCAUCAGUGCCGAGAAUUAAGUUCGUACUCUGUGCCGGUCACUAGCUGAUGCUGUUCCCGGUAUCAGCUCAGCCAGGCUUUACAACCAGAGACUGAGGCAAGUAUUUUACUGAGGAGGAGAUUAAGUCUCAGAGACAUUCACUAUCUGACCCUGGGUUAUACUGUAGCCGAUAAAUGGUUGUAUUGGAGCUUCAGCCUCGUUCAGUCCAAAACUCUCUUAACGUCUGCUCUUUCAAUGAGGAGGAUGGAGGGGCACGUUAACAUUGAGGGGCAGUGAUGAGGUGACACAGGUUGAUGUCACAGAGGCUGGCAAGUGUUUGGGAAAGUGGGGGUGAUAGUGAUGAAGGAGAGGAAAGGUAAUUUUCUCUUAUUCUGAGUUCUUAGGUGAGAUUCCUAUAAUAAAAAACAGAUUAACAAGAGAAAAGCAAAUAGAAUUUACUAAUAUAAAUAUCUCCUAUAUACAUGGAAGAAACUCAGGGAAAAUGAGUAACUCCUGGAGUUGGUAUAGAAUUCAGGAUUAAACACUAUAUUGAUAGGGAAAGAGAAGGAGGGGGGUAGACUUUCUCAAAGAGAGGAAGUGACUUGGGGGAAAGAUGAAGAGCAGGUAGUUUUUGAUGCCCUUGGAAAAACAGAGUGGGAGGUAUGACAGUUUGUGACAGCAUGUUCUGUGUGGCAUCUUUCCUUCUGUCAUGAGUCAAUCUUCCUCAGAAGAUGAAGCUCCUGGGGCAGAUUUAGACAAUUGAGUUCCUCUUGCAGGGUCUGUGUUUAGGUAGAGAAGGCCUCUCCUUACUUUGGCUGUUUUUCAAGUGCCAACGUCUCAAAAUGUGCCAAGGCGACAUACUUUGGGGUGGCAUAUUCGGCCAUCCUGCAGAGACACGCUCAGAUGGUAGAAAGGUGAGAUCACAGGGAUAUAAGACAGUGUUUAGUAUGACCUACUUUGGUUACUACCUUCUGGAAGGAAUUAAAAUUAAAAGAAAUUUAAGUAGGGAAAUCCAGGCGAUACUGUUCAUAGGCAGGAGGGUUGGGCAGAAUUCGAGGAACACAGGCUGCCCCGGACCUACCGUCUCAUCACCAAACCCUGUACGUGAACUGGAAGCAUUUUGUGUCAUAAACGUUAUUACCACAUGAGAGGUAGGAAGUGUUUCUGUCUGCUGUGGCACUACUUACUGUCACACACUACUUCCUUCUGUAGAAAUCACAUGCUUAAGCAUUUGAGUGAUGCUCGUAUUAGUCAGAGGAUUCAAGCAAGUUCAGAGAUGAUGGACUUUUCUCUUCAGAGCUAUUUCAACAUUACCAUCUGGAAUCCGCUCUUCUGGCUUUUGUUCUAUUUCUGCUACACCAUGUCCAGGCCUUGUGAAGCCUUAAAUUUCCUCAGCAGAUUGGAGCCAAACCCAGCAUCAAUUUAGGACUGUAGCUCAUUCACACUGACUCCAUAUUAUUUCCUCUUAAACAGAGUUUUUAUACAUUUCUGGGGGUACGUUGCUUUUAUUUUUUAAGGGGGAAGUAAAUUCCUGAAAUCCUGAGUCUAACUGCUGGCUCUAAAGUAACUAUGGUUUGCUUCUCCCUCCACAGCAAGAGAGAACGGCCAAAUGUAGAAAAUGGAGGCUCAGGGAAGGACUUGAGCAUUGACAAGGCAGGUUCCUGCUGACCCCAAAGAUUCAGGAACCCAGCCCACGGCCCUACAGCUUUCUGGACCAGGCAGACAUCUCUGUUGAGAGACGUUUUGCUGAGGUGACAUUCCUGCAAACCAAAUGGGCUCGGGUUCCCCUGAAAGUAAUGGGAUCAUUGAGAAGCCAGAAAAAUAAAGGGUUUUUAAUGGCGUAAGGGUUACAAAUGCCGUAGGGCAUAUGGAAUAAAUUGUGAAGAAGUAAUCAUGAGACUAGAAGCCACAGAUUUAAUAAGACUACAUUUGUACCGUAUAUACAAACAGAAUUAGAAAUAAAUCCUAUAUGUUGGCAUGGUCAAACCAGCACAAAAUCAUUUACCUUAUAUUGCUUUUAUUUAUUUGUUCAUUUUUUACGAAAGGAAGAA